UAUGUAGAGAGUACAUAAUUAAAUUUUUCUUAGAUAAUGACAUCCCCUAAUAGCCGAUAGAGUGUAAAGAAAAACUUGUUUUCUCUACUCACAAAACCUCUGACAUCGAAUGUUAAGGGCUCAGCCCUACAAGUUUGCUCUUCGCUUCAGAGGUCAUUCCUAAGUGCAGAUGGUUGCCUGGUUGCCUGUAUGACUGACCAGCUGGCUAAGUCAUAGAUUCCUACGACCUCCUCCUCAGAUUUUCUCGGACAACUCGAGAAAAUCUUGACUUACAUUUCCGUUUGUUAUUAAGGAUAUUAUAAAGAAGACAGAUGAACAGCCAUGUAGAGAUACCUAGCUCGAUAUCCAAGAGUUUGCACGCAUCACCUUCCCGACACAUGGCUGCUUUCAUCAGGCUGGAGGUUUACAGACCCUGUUGCUCAGUUUUUAUUGAAGCUUUAUUUCCUACAUAGGUAUGAUUGACCAAACCAUUGGCUCUUGGUGAUUAAGUCAAUUCUCAGUCCUCCUCCCCUUCUAGGAGAUUGAGAGGUAGGGCUCAAAGCACCAUCCCUCUAAUUACAUGGUGAGCGCCUCUGAAAACCAGCCCCCAGUCUCCAAGAGUCACCCUAUUAGCAUAACCUCAGGUGUGGUUGAAAGGGGCUUAUUGUGAAUAAUAAAACGUGCUCCUCUCCACCUUUGCUCUCAGAAAAUUAUAAGGGUUUUAGACGCUCUGUGCCAGGAAGCAGGGACAAGAACAACUAUACAUCUCUUUUAUAUCACAACAUCACGAAUUGUGAAAUAAACAUUUAGUCGCAGUAAUUAUAAAAGGUACAAUGAAAACAUAUGCCGGAGACCACUUCAAGUAAAGACAGUUGGUAUACUUAAUUACUGAUACAUGAAUAAAACAGCUCAGUAUAAAUAACAAAUAAUACUAGUGAGGCAGGAGAUAGAUGGGCUCCAGGCUAGACAUUUACAGCUAGCCUCCUGUUCAUACUUUUUAAGGCAGGAGACAGGUAGGCUCCAUGAUGAAAUUUACACCCAGCCACCUGUUUAUACUUUGAGAGAGAAAUAACAACAGCAAUGAGGUAAAUAAUGAACUUUGCCUUCUGUGGACAGUUUAAACAAGGGUAAUGGCAGGGGCAGAGAGGAGCUAAUCCCUGCUUGGGCAGAAGAUCAAGAGGUCACAUACUUCCCAUCCUUUGGGUCAGGGAGACCCCAACUACACAGGAACAGAAAGACUCCUCAGGGUCAGUAAGGGAGGGGGCACCGGGAGGGGGCAUAAUAAGUCCUCCUAUUAUCCCUUUGCUCUGGACUCCAUCUUGGCCAAAGUUUGCACACGCGUACUGGGGAGGGCCUGGGUCUGGUCAGGUGUGAGAAAGAAAAGAUAAUUGGCCGAAGGAAAACAAAGACCCAGCAGCACCGCACCUAUAUAAAUGAUUUAAAGCACCCCUUGGCACUCUUCCCACUAGCAGGGGCAUCCACACUCCUCUGUGUGUGCUGUUUUGCUUCUAACUGCUUCCCUGUGUGCUCUCCUACAUGUGCUGUGCCUCUGAUAAUAAACCUCAUACCUGUUUUUUUACAGUUUUGCCUCCUUGAAACAUUUUUGCUUUCCACAGGGGCAAGAAUCAGGGCAACUCUGCCCUGGUUUGCCCAGGUUCAAUUCCUGAGCGGGGAAUUAAGAUCUUGAUUCAAGCCAUCACUCACUGCUGUUUCUCUGAGACCACUAGGAGCAGGAACAAUCUUCAAGUAGUCCCUCUUUUUUAAUGAUCUGAUUGGGGACUGUUCAAUCACUGGACAUAUGGCAAGAAGUAUGCUUCACAUCUAUUUGAAAUACCCCAGAGCUCUGUAUUGUUUGGGGAACAAAACUCACUAUGACAAAAUGUCUCUUUGGCUUGAUGCUUAUUUGGGGGUGGCUGUUUUUAGGAAACAAGAGUCUCCUCCCCUUAAAUGUCUAAAGGAAUUUAUAUAAAAGGCCUGUUCUAGGACAAACUCUCAUCAUAGAUUACUGAAGCACCUGAACUAGGUGUGGUAGACUAGGGAAAACUCAGCAAAGUCGGCUUAAGCAACGUGCUAUCCCACUGUCUCUACAUGGCCCAGAAAACAUUUAUUUGCCAAACAUUUGCUUUUUUUCAUUGCCAACUAAAAAUACUGUCACUCACGAGCCACUGCAGUCACUCACCUUCAACACACCCUGAAAGGGGUUCAGGGAGGAUACCAAGAGUGAGGUACCCUGUGCUCCUGGAGAAACUGUCAGAACAGCCUUCAAAUAGUUAGAUCUUUUUAGGCAAAGAUUUAUGAGUCCAAUGUCUUGCAUCUUUUCCUGUCUAGAAAAGCACUAAAAUCAUUAAGGGAGAUAUUUGCUCCUUGUGACUAGCAGCAAACUUCUUGUGACUAGCAGCAAACUUCUUGUGACUAGCAACAAACUUCUGCCAAGAUGUGUGCUUGACUGCAAGUAUAGCCCCUUCACUAAAAUCACAUAUAUAUAAUGUAGAAAGUAACAUAAUGUCUUUUCUAUCAAAGGAAAUCUUGGUUACUCCAUUGGUCUCUGUUUCAGCCAAACUGCCCCUGCAACCCCCUCCUCUUUCGCUCUUCUCCCAGUAACAAUUUGUUUCAAAUUAGCCAACAGAGAAGAAUGUGCGCCCUCACCUGACCCAUGGGAAGGGGACAGGUCCAUCCCCUGCAUUAGGGAUAAAUAGGGAGGGUCUUUUCUUCUUUGCGCGCGCUUUUUGAGCACCCGUGCCCUUCUGCAGAAGGAAAGAGCCUUGUCGAGAUCUCCCCAUGUUCAUGUGUCUCAUUUUUCGACACUGACAAUCUGAGCCAUGUCCCCAACAACAGACCUCCGCUUCUACCUCUUAGGAGCACUUCCUCAGAACUAUCUGAGGCUGCCUCCUGGGCUACUGUCCCCAUUUUGCCCCAGAUAAAACUUAACUCAGAACUUUCACAUUGAGAGGUUUUUUCAACCAACAUCAUCUUUCUAUAAAUUGCCUCCCUUUCCAAACCCCCUACCUGCUUCUCCUUCUCUCAGAUGGUAUAUAAGCUUCGACUGCCAGACUCAUCCCUGAGUUCAUAUUCUUAUAGAGCCCCCACACAACAUAAUUAAAUUUGAUUUUUCUCCUGUUAACCUGUCUCAUGUCAAUUGAAUUCUGGGACCAGCCAGAAGAUCCUAGAAGAGCAGAGGGGUUUUUUCCUCCCCCACAGCAAGCACUUUGAAAAUGGGAUGGACAGUAAAAUAAAAGAGAGGAAGCACUAGAGCAAUAGAAUACUUUUCCCAAGACCAUGGAAAGGCUUUGGUGCUUCUCACGAAGUACACCUACAAUACAGAAAAAAGGUAAUGGGGAGAGUUACUCAAAGGUAAGGAGGAGACACCAAGGCUAUGACAACGCUUGCCAAAGUCACCAAUUCACUCCUUGAACUAAAACCUAGCCAGCAAGGGAAAGAACAGUGAGCAGGAAGACCCCAGGGAUUGACAUGCAAAUAAGCACUCUAGGCAACUCACACUGAAUUCUGCACUGGGAGGAAUGCUUAGGGUGCUCAUUUGCAUGUUGGUUACCAGAGGUUUCUUUCAAUUCACAGCCAUUUUAAAACACUCCCUGUCAGAGCCUGGGAACAACUAAAGGGACUGAACAAAGGUGAACUAGCAAAGAGUUCUCUGCCAUAACCCACAGGAGACAAUGUGCCUUCUCUUGGGCACCAAAAUAUUCUUUUUACAUGUUUAUCACACGAACAGCGCAGAGCCUACGACUACUGUGCGUAUUUCUUGUUAAAGAAAAGAUCUCUGACCAGGUUGACCUGGUUUCUGCCUUAAUCUCUAGAUUCUGAUGUUAUGGAACCUCCAACGGAGUUCCUCUUCUCAGCGAGAGUAAUAUCUCACUCUUCUGUUCCUGUAUCUGCUUCCUGUUUAUAAAGGGUGCACUUGGAGGAAGGCAAUGAAUGUUUCUUUCUUUAAUCUACAGCAAUAUUUACUGCUUCGGGGGAGUUCAGGUCUUGUCCUUUGGCAAGCUCACAGCUCUCAACUGAAACAGGCAAAGCAAAUGCAUUUUCUCUCCUUCAUGUGAAAAAGGCUGUGGUUAACAGGACUCUGUUGCUGACAAGUGUAGCCAUUUUAAUUGUUUUAAAACAGAUAAACAAAUAAAAAUCAACAAAAAAAGAUAAUCUUAAAGUCAGGAGUCCACUCUAGAAAUUGCUUUCUUACAGUGUCUGUGCAAUCAGUACAAUUCGGCUUCAAUCGUCGUUGUUUUUUAGGUGCCUAUGAAGUACUAGCUGUGAUUCAGAGUGUCUAUCUCUGUCCUUGAGUCACCAACAUUUACCAGAAAAAAGAUACAAAGCAGUCUCUACAAUAAUGUACAUCCAACUCUUUCUAAAUCUCGUAAGUGGAUAUAAUAUUCUCCUUAAGGAUAGAGUACCAGGAGGGCUGUAGGUUGUAUGAUGGUGAAUAGAGAUCCGAUUCAGGAUAAUGUGCUUAUAAAUAGGAUGGAACAGAGGCAAUGAUAAUACCUCUUUUCUUUGGACUAAGAGAAUUCUUUAUAAUGAUGGCCAGAUGUUGGCAAUGAAUACAAAUAUACUAGGAGAGCCCCCGAUUGUUUCUGUCUCUUGUAUGUGUACAAGGCUAGUUCUUCCAAAAUGUGGUUGUGAGUGUGGAAUAAUUAUUUUAGAUAUGCUGGUGUGGUGUAUGUCGUCAGUCUCAGUCACAAAGCUCAUUUCAACCUGGAUCUAUUACCAACUAUACUCAUAGACGCCUCUGCAGUUAAUUCCAGCCACUUUUCCUAGUGACGCUCAAAAGGCAACAACGGUGUGGCCUCUCAACUGCACCAUCAAGGACUGUGCAGAGAAAAAUACAUAAAAGUGGUUCAGUAGAUCAGAUGGUGAUGAUUUUUUGUGCACAAUAAACUGCAAAUAGUACCCUCCCGAGGGAAUGCUUCCCUGUGUAUCUAUUGCUUUUAAUCUCACCUAACUUCUUUUAGUAUACUAGCUCUGCAUCAUACAGGAGCAAUGCAAACAUUUUUUUUUAGCAUGCAAACAGCAGUAAAUCACAUCUUUCACUUCUGUAGCUCAAUGCAAAUAUUUAACAUUUAUCUCAUGUUUCUUAUUAUCUAAGCACCUUACAUUACACUAGAGAAAGAUUUUAAUUUUACUCAUUAAUGAGAAUCAAGAUACAAAGAAAAAAAUAACUUUGACUGUGCAUAAGGUCUUGACUCAGUUGAAGUCUAAAUUCAGAAUUUCUAAAGCACAUUCUUCUCAUAAAUGUAGGUGUAGCCUGUAGAACUCUCGGCCAGGGAAAGCCAUAGAAUGAGUACAGCCUACAUAGUGGAAAAUGUGUACCUUGUAAAUGUCUUAUCAUUAUCUUUUCCCAGAAAUUAUUUGCUUCUAUAUUCUUCACAAAAUGGCCUGAAUAGAAUAACUAAUGGCAUAAUUACUUCAGAUCUUUGAAAUAGUUGAAGAGAAUCUGAUGAAUGGAUUAAAAAUUCUGUCCUUUUCAUGAGUAUAUUACUGUAAUUUGGUUAUAUGUGGAGUUUUUGUUGAGCACUAUUAAUCAUUCUUAAAUGCUAAGACAGAAAAUUUAGAUAGUUUUUUAAAGCUAUCCCUUAAUGUUUGCCAGGCCAUAAAAACUACUAAAAUAUCAGACUUUAAAACAAAAUUGACAGUAAUUAGAAUAAGUAUGUAUUUAGAUUAAAAAAAACAACCAAAUUUCCAUAAAGCUAGUAUUUUAAAAUACUUUACUAAAUAUCCACAUACUGAGUUAUUUGAAAUUAUAUGUCUUGCAGAGUUCCCAUUGUAGUGCGAUGGAAACAAAUCCAACUAGUAUCCAUGAGGGUGUGGGUUCAAUCCCUGGCCUCGGUCAGUGGGUUAAGGAUCUGGUGUUGCUGUGAGCUGUGAUGUAGGUCACAGAUAUGGCUGGGAUCCUGAGUUGCUCUGGCUGUGGUGUAGGCUGGUGCUAUAGCUCCCAUUCAACCCCUAGCCUGGAAACUUCCAUAUGCCUCGGGUGAGGCCCUAAAAAAAAAGAAAAAGAAAUUAUAUGUCUUGGAGGCCAGUUGUUUAUCUAAGAUAAAAUCCUAUUCUAAGAUGCUAACCAUUUAAUUUUAGUAUCAAAUCAAAUCCUUUUUUAAGGCCAAGUCCUGUCCAAAGCCACUGUGAUUUCAAACUCGAGAGAGAAAUCAAUCCCAAUCAAAACCUGCACUGUUCUACAAAAUCUUAUCUUGUAGAAAAUACAUAUUAAGUUUUAUAGGUUGAUCAGAAAGUGAUGUGUUUAUGGAAGACCUGGUAUAAAUACUGCAACAAAAAGAAACAAAAAGAUGGGGUUUACUAUCACAUAUCGUAUAAGUGGCUUUUUAUUUUCUGAUUCAAAAAUUUAGACACGUUUAAGUUCAACUUUGACUAAAACAACAUAAUGAUCUUCUCUGCUUUUAUUUUG
rnacentral:lncRNA from 1 species